AUUGAACGCUGGCGGCAGGCCUAACACAUGCAAGUCGAACGAGUGGCGGACGGGUGAGUAAUGUCUGGGAAACUGCCUGAUGGAGGGGGAUAACUACUGGAAACGGUAGCUAAUACCGCAUACCAUCGGAUGUGCCCCGAUGGGAUUAGCUAGUAGGUGGGGUAACGGCUCACCUAGGCGACGAUCCCUAGCUGGUCUGAGAGGAUGACCGUCCCCACUGGAACUGAGACACGGUCCAGACUCCUCCACUAUCACUCCAUAUUAAAUAUUGCACAAUGUGCGCAAGCCUGAUACAGCCAUGCCGCGUGUAUGAAGAAUUCCUUCGGGUUUUAAAGUACUUUCAGCGGGGAGGCGUUACCCGCAGAAUAAGCACCGGCUAACUUCGUGCCAGCAGCCGCGGUAAUUC
rnacentral:rRNA from 1 species